rnacentral:SRP_RNA from 1 species
ACUGGGCGCAGUGGAGUGUGCCUGUAGUCCCAGCUACUCAGGAGGCUGAGGCUGGAGGAUCGCUUGAGUAUAGGAGUUCUGGGCUGUAGUGCACUAUGCCGAUCGGGUGUCUGCACUAAGUUAGGCGUCAAUAUGGUGACCUCCCUGGAGUGGGGGACCACCAGGUUGCCUAAGGAGGGGUGAACCAGCCCAGGACGAAAAUGGUGCAGGUCAAAACUCCCGUGCUGAUCAGCAAUGGGAUUGCGCCUGUGAACAGCCACUGCACUCCAGCCUGGGCAACAUAGCAAGACUCUGUCUCA